ACAUAAGUAGAACAUGACAUAGUAUGGGCCCAUUAUAAGUAUACAGAAAUUUUGGGAGGCUCUUAAACCCCAGGGGUGAAACUUACACCCCAUUGUGAGUGAUGUUCUUACAGAGCCUGAUAGCCUCUUCAAAUGUGGUAAUAUCCUCGCUCGGAGCUAUGACCCGUCAAAGUUGGGCGCAAUGUUAAGUCAAUGGAAUUUUUCGGGUGGUUUUUCGCCCCCCUAUUGAACAACCCCCACCCGAUCACUUAUAAAAGUCAUAUCACACCAUUCCUCAAUGGGCCGCUCAAUUUUAGCCCUCAUUCAUGGGUCUACGACAAAAGCUGUGGGACUAGUUACGUGUCCAGUGUCCAGAACAAGAAUUAUAAAGAACUAGAUAGUACAUUUUCUAAAGAAACUGUGAGUGAUGCUUUCGUGGCAAACCACGGAACUCGGCACUAGGGUGAUGACACUUUAAGUACUAAUGAAUCUAACCAACCCCCAUGACUCUAAGAUGUUCUGAUACAGAGAUAUAGGUAUUGCUAAACGGUUGCUAGGCUGACAUGUUUUGUUGCUAUGGGCGUGGCUUCGAAGCUUCAUGAUGAUCCUGGGACACUGAUAGGUUGCCUGAGUAAAACGAGCCCACCCCAUUGUCUCUAUGACACUGUGUUGCAAAGAUAUCCACCUGAACCUUUUAUAUUGGGAGUCUAUGGGAUCGGUUGCUAGGUUGCUGUAAAUGGUUGCUAUGGGCGUGGCUUAAUAACUUCAUAAUGAUCAUGUCACACUGAUUGGUAGCCUGAGUAAAAUGAGCCCACCCCCUUGUCUCUAAGUGGUUGUACUGCUAAGAUAUUCAACACGGGACGUUUUACGCCUUAUAUGGGCAUGCUUCCUGUGAUUGGGAAAUUUUGGGAGGCUCUUACACCCCAGGAUAUAUGGAGAUGGAUGACAUGCAUGGCAGCAUGCGAUGUGGCGAUUCACCCCUUGCGCAAUCAGUGUCGCCAGGGAAACGGAUGAGACACAGCUGCCGAUCAUCAACUCACCAAUCAACUGGGCAUAAAAGCCAGCGGGACAGAAGACACUGUGAGCUACCACUCCCAUGCAAGCCAGGGUUAAUUCUUAUGUCUUCUGUCUCGCAGGAUGGGACGAUCGACGGCGGGAGCACGCACGGAAGAGAUAUUUACACGGUGGACGGACACGCACUUGGGCACGGAGAUCACGGUUAACUGGAGGAACUAGUCCAGAGGCACUCCCACGCCGGGCAUCCACCAAACCACCGAACUUUACACGGAACACCCUGCACUCACCGUUUGAAUAAAAACUCCCCUCCUGGGCUGAAAAACUA